rnacentral:rRNA from 1 species
GAUGAACGCUGGCGGCGUGCCUAAUACAUGCAAGUCGAGCGAACAGACGAGGAGCUUGCUCCUCUGACGUUAGCGGCGGACGGGUGAGUAACACGUGGAUAACCUACCUAUAAGACUGGGAUAACUUCGGGAAACCGGAGCUAAUACCGGAUAAUAUAUUGAACCGCAUGGUUCAAUAGUGAAAGACGGUUUUGCUGUCACUUAUAGAUGGAUCCGCGCCGCAUUAGCUAGUUGGUAAGGUAACGGCUUACCAAGGCAACGAUGCGUAGCCGACCUGAGAGGGGGGUCGGCCACACUGGAGCUGAGACACGGUCCAGGCUCCUACGGGAGGCAGCAGUAGGGAAUCUUCCGCAAUGGGCGAAAGCCUGACGGAGCAACGCCGCGUGAGUGAUGAAGGUCUUCGGAUCGUAAAACUCUGUUAUUAGGGAAGAACAAAUGUGUAAGUAACUAUGCACGUCUUGACGGUACCUAAUCAGAAAGCCACGGCUAACUACGUG